UCAAACUUGGUCAUUUAGAGGAAGUAAAAGUCGUAACAAGGUUUCCGUAGGUGAACCUGCGGAAGGAUCAUUAUCAAUAAUCAUCCAACACACUGUGAACCUUUGAUGUCUGUGGUCUUUCUAUGCAUGAUCUGUAUGAUCUGUGGAAGGCCACCUUUAUUAUAAACUUUUAACAUACAGUCUUAUAAUAUACACACACAACAAAACAACUUUUAACAAUGGAUCUCUUGGCUCCUGCAUCGAUGAAGAACGCAGC
rnacentral:misc_RNA from 1 species